CCUACGGGAGGCAGCAGUGGGGAAUCUUGCGCAAUGGGCGAAAGCCUGACGCAGCCAUGCCGCGUGAAUGAUGAAGGUCUUAGGAUUGUAAAAUUCUUUCACCGGGGACGAUAAUGACGGUACCCGGAGAAGAAGCCCCGGCUAACUUCGUGCCAGCAGCCGCGGUAAUACGAAGGGGGCUAGCGUUGCUCGGAAUUACUGGGCGUAAAGGGAGCGUAGGCGGAUAGUUUAGUCAGAGGUGAAAGCCCAGGGCUCAACCUUGGAAUUGCCUUUGAUACUGGCUAUCUUGAGUUUGGGAGAGGUGAGUGGAACUCCGAGUGUAGAGGUGAAAUUCGUAGAUAUUCGGAAGAACACCAGUGGCGAAGGCGACUCACUGGCCCAAUACUGACGCUGAGGCUCGAAAGCGUGGGGAGCAAACAGGAUUAGAUACCCUGGUAGUCCACGCCGUAAACGAUGAGUGCUAGUUGUCGGCAUGNAUGCAUGUCGGUGACGCNGCUACGCAUAGACACNCCGCCGUGGGAGGUACGGUCGCGAGAGUAAACGUACGAAGUUAAGUUAGUAGNGUUGAGACGNGCGAGGACGACGACGAGGGAGAGG
rnacentral:rRNA from 1 species